rnacentral:tRNA from 1 species
GCCUGGGUGGCUCAGUGGUUGAGCAUCUGUCUUUGGCUCAGGUCAUGAUCCAAGGUCCUGGGAUCCAGUCCCACAUCAGGCC